rnacentral:rRNA from 1 species
GAUGAACGCUGGCGGCGUGCCUAAUACAUGCAAGUCGAGCGAACAGAUGAGUAGCUUGCUCCUCUGACGUUAGCGGCGGACGGGUGAGUAACACGUGGAUAACCUACCUAUAAGACUGGGAUAACUUCGGGAAACCGGAGCUAAUACCGGAUAAUAUAUUGAACCGCAUGGUUCAAUAGUGAAAGACGGUUUUGCUGUCACUUAUAGAUGGAUCCGCGCCGCAUUAGCUAGUUGGUAAGGUAACGGCUUACCAAGGCAACGAUGCGUAGCCGACCUGAGAGGGUGAUCGGCCACACUGGAACUGAGACACGGUCCAGACUCCUACGGGAGGCAGCAGUAGGGAAUCUUCCGCAAUGGGCGAAAGCUUGACGGAGCAACGCCGCGUGAGUGAUGAAGGUCUUCGGAUCGUAAAACUCUGUUAUUAGGGAAGAACAAAUGUGUAAGUAACUAUGCACGUCUUGACGGUACCUAAUCAGAAAGCCACGGCUAACUACGUG